AGCCUAGGGGCUGGGAUGAGUGUCUGUCAAGGAGUCCGUUGUGAACGGAGAAAAGAGAAUCCCAGAAGCCCUGUGUCCUGUAGGCUGGAGAAGGAUCUUCAUCCGACAGUGUUGGCUGCCCUCUGCUGGUCCUUUUGCUCCCUCUUCUCUUCCAGGUUUCCAAGAU